AGUGUGUUGGCAGAGUAGUGCAAUUGACUUAGGAUCAAUCUAUGGAAUAUACCACACACUA
rnacentral:tRNA from 1 species